UCACGCUUAAUUUAAAAGCAUGGCUGAGUUAGUGUACUGCUUCAAAUACCGCACUAUUUCUUCCAGUACCCUGUGGGAGAUUGGCAGGUCCCCGCUGGACUGAGAAAGUGCCACAAGACAAAAAUAUCAGAGUUUGGAAGUGAUGAAGAAAGCCUUUAUGCUCGCAGUAACAAAACAGAGCCUGUUUUGAAUGGCUCCUGGAAAGAAGAAGAGGCGCCCUUGAAUGUGGUAGUACGUGUCAUUGGAGGAACAGAUGGGAUAUCACGCGACACGGCUCUGCACAAACGGCCAAAUGCGUAUUUAAAAUGUAGAGAUUUGCGUCAUAAAGUGUGUUGAUGGAGCAAAUACUUCACCGCAUCCUUUUCCAAAGGGGAAAUCGUUUACUGAAUGCAAUGUUCUUUGGUUGUUUUUCAGAUCUAUGAGAUAAAAACCUCCCAAUAAAAAUGAGGUUUGUUUUUGUGGGUUCGUAUGACAUUUUCUGAAUUUUUUUUAAAUUUUGUGCAACAUGUUAGGAAGAAGCUAUCAGAUGUUAAAUCAAGCUCACGGCUGCGUGUUCAAUACCCCUUUUCCUGUGUGAUUCCAGUGAAAAACCAAUGUUGCCCUUGCUGAUUUCAGUCAUUAAAGAGUGUCAUCACUUUAAAAUAAAUUACGCACCACCAAACAAUUUUAAUAUGGUUUUAUGUAGCUGUAUUACGCAGAAAGGUGUAGAUUUAUUCCAAAAUGCCCCAUAACCCACCAAACCAAACACAAACUUAUGUAAACACAGCAUGCGUAAACAGCCUGACCUAUUUGUCAUUCCAGGUUUGAAUGACUCCUUUCUCCAUCCUCCUCCUCAGAGGUAUUCCCUCGUUCUGGACCAAUGCUUCCUGCAGACCAUUGACUGCAUCCAGAAACCAAAGCAAACAGAGGAGCCGUGAACGCAGAGGUUAAAGUUAGCCAUCAGUGCACCAGGGAUCUGUGAACUAAACUCAGGCCAGAAAACGGUCCGUGGGCCCAGAGCUCCACCACCUAGAGGGUCUUCUGCCCACUGCAACCGACACUAAUGGCUCCAAGUGACAAAAUCCACCACAUCAGACGGCCGACGGACCAAA
ensembl:lncRNA